AGCCUACGGGGGGCAGCAGUGAGGAAUAUUGGUCAAUGGCCGGAAGGCUGAACCAGCCAAGCCGCGUGAAGGACGAAGGUGCCAAGCAUUGUAAACUUCUUUUGUCAAGGGACAAAAUCAGGCUCGAGAGCCUGACCGAGGGUACUUGAAGAAAAAGCAUCGGCUAACUCCGUGCCAGCAGCCGCGGUAAUACGGAGGAUGCGAGCGUUAUCCGGAUUUACUGGGUGUAAAGGGAGCGUAGACGGCGAUGCAAGCCAGAUGUGAAAGCCCGCGGCUCAACUGCGGUAGUGCAUUUGGAACUGUAU
rnacentral:rRNA from 1 species